rnacentral:ncRNA from 1 species
UUUCCCUCAGGAUAGCUGGCGCUCGAAGUCUCACAGUUUUAUCUGGUAAAGCGAAUGAUUAGAGGUCUUGGGGCCGAAACGAUCUCAACCUAUUCUCAAACUUUAAAUGGGUAAGAAGCCCGGCUCGCUGGCUUGGAGCCGGGCGUGGAAUGCGAGCCGCCUAGUGGGCCACUUUUGGUAAGCAUAUAUAUUGACUGAC